rnacentral:rRNA from 1 species
UAGGGAAUCUUCCGCAAUGGGCGAAAGCUUGACGGAGCAACGCCGCGUGAGUGAUGAAGGUCAUCGGAUCGUAAAACUCUGUUAUUAGGGAAGAACAAAUGUGUAAGUAACUAUGCACGUCUUGACGGUACCUAAUCAGAAAGCCACGGCUAACUACGUGCCAGCAGCCGCGGUAAUACGUAGGUGGCAAGCGUUAUCCGGAAUUAUUGGGCGUAAAGCGCGCGUAGGCGGUUUUUUAAGUCUGAUGUGAAAGCCCACGGCUCAACCGUCGAGGGUCAUUGGAAACUGGGAAACUUGAGUGCACAAGAGGAAUGUGUAAUUCCCUGUGUAGCGGUGAAAUCCGCAGAGAUAUGGAGGAACACCAGUGGCGGAGUCGACUUUCUGGUCUGUAACUGACGCUGUUGUGCGCAAGCGUGGGGAUCAAACAGG